rnacentral:rRNA from 1 species
AUUGAACGCUGGCGGCAGGCCUAACACAUGCAAGUCGAGCGGAUGAAGGGAGCUUGCUCCUGGAUUCAGCGGCGGACGGGUGAGUAAUGCCUAGGAAUCUGCCUGGUAGUGGGGGAUAACGUCCGGAAACGGGCGCUAAUACCGCAUACGUCCUGAUGGAGAAAGUGGGGGAUCUUCGGACCUCACGCUAUCAGAUGAGCCUAGGUCGGAUUAGCUAGUUGGUGGGGUAAAGGCCUACCAAGGCGACGAUCCGUAACUGGUCUGAGAGGAUGAUCAGUCACACUGGAACUGAGACGCGGUCCAGACUCCUACGGGAGGCAGCAGUGGAGAAUAUUGGACGAUGGGCGAAAGCCUGAUCCAGCCAUGCCGCGUGUGUGAAGAAGGUCUUCGGAUUGUAAAGCACUUUAAGUUGGGAGGAAGGGCAGUAAGUUAAUACCUUGCUGUUUUGACGGUACCAACAGAAUAAGCACCGGCUAACUUCGUG